rnacentral:lncRNA from 1 species
AUGGUUGUCUCACAACAAAGCUGAAUCUAGGUCGACAAGCUAGUCAUAUUUACAAAAACAAAAUAGAUAGAGUUCGUACCAGCUUUUCAGUUUGAGUCACUUCAUCAUAUAUCAUCAUUAUUGCCUUUCACUUGCACGAUCGAACGAUGUGAACAAUAAUAAGAGUGCUCGUGCAUUGGACUAAGCUGAAUCUACAGGCAAACACAAAGGAGAAGACAAAGUAAUAUGACUCUUUGAAAGGUAAACAGGUAAUCAUGCAAGAGCCACUAAACAUUGUAACCAAUAUCUUCAACCUUGACCCAAAGAAAAAGAAAACUAUUUACGCGGGAAAGCUCCCAACAAGCAAAAGAAGAAAGGAAAAUAUUUUUAGGUUUUCUCAAAAGGACACAAAACAAGAAAACAAGAAAACAAAAAUAAACUAGCAUGGAUAAUUGUGACGGCCCGAGACCGACGUUCCAGAAGAUUCCCCCUUCUUUCCGUUUUCGUCAUGUGUCUAUUUUCUUUUGUCGCAUCAUCUGCAUUGCAUCGGCACCCCGUUGCCGCCAGUUUUCAAAACUUGCAUCCGUUGUUAGUUGUCGGUUCUCAUCGUUGUCCGUUCUGAGCCCGAUCACACACGCACGCGCCCGCGGUAUCGUCUAAAUCUUGUUUUCAAAAGUGUGUUUAAAACAUUCUCUGAUUGGGUUGGAACUUGGCGUGCGGUCGUAAUUAGUUGUAGCUAGGCCGCUUGUCAAGUUUCGUCGCAAUCGGAGUUCGUCUGGUACCCGAACGGUCGACCGUAGCGGCACCGUAUUCGGUCUAUCGUCGGACAUUUUCCAGUAUUUUAAACCCCGAUGCCGGGCUGCCCGUUUUCCCUCUCAUCCCCACCUAGCCUCUCUGCACAGUGCACCGAACCGCCGCGCAACCCAGUCCGAAAACCUCCCGGUACCCAAAACACACGGUCGUAACCGUUGGGUCCGGAUCAACCCUGUUUUACCGCAAACCUCCUUCGGUUUGUCAAUUGAUUUCCCUAACCUAUUUAUAUUAACCGUCCGAUCUAGAAUCGGAGGGCUCUAAUUAGACAUCAUUUAGACCCGUUUGCUAUUUAUAUGCAAACUAGCCCAGCCUAGUCUAACCCUAGACCAAUCCCUAGAAAUCCUCUCCCUGUCCAAUAGCCGCCGCCACCCAUUGGAAAAAAACUUCCCCUCGGGAUCCCCAGAUUUAGUCUGCAGCCAACCCCGCAAGCAGCUCGAUCCAGAGUCCGUGCGCCUCGACCUUGUCUUCCAUGCGAGUCGAGCCGCCGGACGCAUCCGUCGCCUGCAGCUCCCCAUGUCUGUCGCCCGCAUGCCGCACGAGGAGGCCGUCCCCAACCAGUCAAUGGAGCGCACGAGCGGGCAUGGCCUCGUCCCUGAGCUCCCUCCCCCGUACCUCCUAGGGGGGGGGCGCCAUGAGCCGCCGGCGAGCUUCACCGACGGGCAGGCACCCAGGUCGCCCCUGCUCCUUCUCCCUUCCUUAUUCCCUCUCCCACCUCGUCUCUCUCUCUUUGUCCACAGGAGCAUCUACGCCUCUGUCAAGGGAAGCUGUGCCAUGGAGCUUGCAGCUUGUGAACCGGCGUCCCGUCCACUGAAUCGAGCUCCUGAUGCCGGGAAUGGAUUCCCAUGCUCAGAUCCGCCCUUUCCCCCUCGUCCUGGAUGCUCGCCGGAGUCCCAUCAAGACUCGCCAGGUUCAGCCACCGAAGCCGCAGGUGAGGACUCACCAGAUCCUCCAUGUACGCUUCUGCCUGGCCGUGUGUGUUCGUGUAGAAGGAGUCCCGCCGCCUCUUUAGUAUAUGUUGUUCUCCCCUGCAGUCAUGUCACGUGCACAUGCAUAGCUGAGUUGGCCAGCGCUGCUCUAAUCGACCAGGAGAUCGUGGGUUCAAGUCCCCGCGGAUUCAUUUCUAUUUUUCACGAAUUUUACCCUUUCCAUAGGAUUAGUUUCUGCCUUGGUUCACUUAAUAUCGAGGCCUUGUUAGUUCACACAACAGGAGCCAGACCAACUGGUUAGUGCCCUGGAUUCAACGCAGGGGUCUGGGAUUUGAAUCCCAGCUUUACCCCAUAUUUGUUUCCCCUUUGCUGCACUACGAUUUUGCUAAUCUUCAAAAAUAUCACUUAUUUUCAAAUGCACGUAGUUUCUAAUCCGUGCAUCGGAUUGCGAUGAGUUAUAUAUGCUACUUGGCUAGAAUUUUGCGUAGAAUAUUUUUUUUCCAACUCUCAUGCAUAAUUAGAAAUGUUUAGUGUGAUGUUUGCAUCGGAUUGCGUGUCGACUUGUUGAAAACGGUUUAGGUCGUAAUUAUUUAACCGUAGCUCAUUUGGAGAUGUGCCAUAUAUGUAAAUGGACCAGAAUGACGAGUAGAAUCACGUGAACCACUUUGUUUUGCUGUUUAACAAGUAUAAAAUGUGAUUAGGACAGAUCUGGACAGAAUUAUAAUUUAACACGUGGGGUCAUUUCGGAGAUGCUAUAUGUCGUUUCCGGCCUCAUUUAAAAUGCCUAGAUAGGUAGUUUAAUUUGUGUUUCACCCCCUUUCCAUGUCUAACAACAUUUAAUAUUUUCGUAUAAAUAAAUGGGAGUGAAUUAAAUAAUUAAAUGUGGAGUUUCGUCAAUAUGCAACUUGUUGCAUAUUGAGCUCCACUUAAUGUGUAGUGAUUGCGUCAUGUGAAUUGCCAUGCCAUCCCUUGCAUCAUUGAAUUGAUCAUGCAUCAUAGUAGGUUGUGCAUCAUGUUGUGCAUCGUGUGGUGAAUAUCUGUGUUGAUGUUUGUUUCCGGUUUGCUCCGUCUCGAUAGAGUUCCGCAAGCGUGUCGGAAUGUGAGGCGACGUUGGUUCACCGACUUCACGGAGUUGUUCUUCUUCCAGGCGGGAUCUCAGGCAAGAUGACCAUUUCCCAAGAUACCAUUACUAUCAUUGCCAUGCUAGUUUUAUCGCUUCUAUCGAUUAUGUCUCGUUGCCUACCACAUGUUAAAUAUCAGCCUCUCAACAAUGCCAUGAUUACCUUCAACCUGUUCGACCUAGCAAACCACUGAUUGUCUAUGUUACCGCUUGCUUAACCAUGUUGUUAGCGUUGCUAGUUGCGGGUGCAGUUGCUUCCAUGUGAUAACAUGGGUCCCUUGUCAUAUCACCAUAUUAAUGCUAUUUAAUUUAAUGCACCUAUAUACUUGGUAAAAGGUGGAAGGCUCGGCCUUUCUAGCCUGGUGUUCUGUUCCACCUAUGCCCCCUUAGUUUCGGCUACUGGUGUUAUGUUCCAUAAAUGAGCGCUCCUAACACGAUCGGGGUUGUUAUGGGGACCCCCUUGAUAAUUCGUUUUAGAUUAAAGCUGGUCUGGCAAGGCCCAACUUUGGUACUACAUUUUCCCAACAUAAUAACUUUGUUAAUACUGAAAGCAUAGGGCGUCAUGAACCCGAGGAGUAAUUUCACAUAAUACAGGGAGGGCCAGUGCUGAUGGUGCUGGUCCAAAACAGAGCACUGUGCGGGGCCAUCGCGAGGAAAAUCGAGGUUUGGCACUCGUACACUUCGCUUAUCCGUCGUGUCCUGAGAACGAGAUACGCCGCUCCUAUCGGGAUCGUCGACACACCGGGCGGCCUUGCUGGAUUAGGUUUACCUUUGACGAGAUAUCUUGUGCAUCGGGAUUCCGGUGAUGCUUUGGGUAACCUCAGAGUUGAGGUUUUCCACUAGGGAAUCCGACGAGAUCGCGAGCUUCGUGAUUGAGGAUUUCUAUGCGGCUUGUGGUAAUUUGUGAUGGACUAGUUGGAGCACCCCUGCAUGGUUAAAUCUUUCAGAAAGCCGUUCCCGCGGUUAUGUGGCAAGGUGGAAACUUUGCUUAACACUGGUUCUAGAUAACUUGAAGUUAACUUAACUAAAAUAUGCCAACUGUGUGUGUAACCGUGACUGCCUCUUUCGUGAGUUCCUUCUCCGAUCGAGGACACGGUGGGGUUAUGUCUGACGUAGGUAGGUGUUCAGGAUCAUUUAUUUGAUCAUCAGUACUUCACGUCCGUUAUGCAUAGAUCUUCCCUCUCUUAUAUCUUGUACUCGUAAGUUUAGCCACCAAAUAUAUGCUUAGUCGGUGUUGCAACCUCACCACUUAACCAUACCUCACCCAUUAAGCUUUGCUAGUCUUGAUACCUUUGGAAAUGAGAUUGCUGAGUCCCCUGUGGCUCACAGAUUACUACAACACCAGUUGCAGGUACAGGUAAAGGUUACUUGAUGCGAGCGCGUUGAUUGUUUAUUUGGAGUUGCUUCUUCUUCUUCUUCAUCAUCGAUCUAGGAUGGGUUCCAGGCCGACAGCCUGGGAUAGCAAGGAUGGACGUCGUUCUUAGUUUUCUCGUUUGUUUUCCGUCCGUAGUCGGACCCUGCUCUUACUCUUGAUGAUUAUGUAAUGUACUGAUGUGACUCUGAUGUAGCUUGUGGCGAGUGUAAGCCAAUUCUAUAUAUAUCUCUUCUUUUCAGUACAUGUACUUGUAACGAUAUCCAUUCUUGUGACACGACGAGAUGCGCUUCUAUCCCUGACGAGGCCUUCGUGCCAAAUUGAGGAUAGGGUCGCAUCUUGGGCGUGACAAUAAUACAGUGGCAAAGUGUGCACACCGGCUAACAAAGUGAAAGCAUAAGCAUGAAUGUAAAGUCGGUGAGAACACGUACUCCCCCAAGCUUAGGCUUUUGGCCUAGCUUGGUCUACUCCCA